GUCGGCGUCGUGACCAUCCAGCCCCAAGCCUUCACCCUGACCUCGGAAUUGCCGGGGCGUACCACUGCCUACCGCGUCGCCGAGGUGCGCCCGCAGGUCAACGGCAUCAUCCUCAAGCGCCUGUUCAAGGAAGGCAGCGACGUCAAGGAAGGCCAGCAGCUGUACCAGAUCGA
rnacentral:ncRNA from 1 species